GGGGGCCCGCAAGCGGUGGAGCAUGUGGUUCAAUUCGACGCAACGCGAAGAACCUUACCUGGACUCGAAAUCUAGUCGACCGCCUCAGAGAUGAGGUUUUCCCGCAAGGGACGGCUGGGUAGGUGCUGCAUGGCUGUCGUCAGCUCGUGUCGUGAGAUGUUGGGUUAAGUCCCGCAGCGAGCGCAACCCUUACGCCUAGUUGCUCGCCCGCAAGGGAAGCACCCUAGGAGAACCGCCCCAGAUAAUGGGGAGGAAGGUGGGGAUGACGUCAAGUCCUCAUGGCCUUUAUGCCCAGGGCUACACACGUGCUACAAUGGCCGGUACAAAGCGUCGCGAACCCGCGAGGGGGAGCCAAUCGCAAAAAACCGGUCUCAGUUCGGAUUGCAGUCUGCAACUCGACUGCAUGAAGCUGGAAUCGCUAGUAAUCGCGUAUCAGAACGACGCGGUGAAUACGUUCCCGGGCCUUGUACACACC
rnacentral:rRNA from 1 species